UCUCUCUCUCUCUCAAAAUAAAUAAACAUUAAAAAAUUUUUUUAAAUAAAUAAGUUUAAAACAAUAGAAAUGCAGCAUCAGUCCCCACCCCACGUUGUUUAUAUGCACAUUAAAGGUUGAGAAGCAUGUGUGUGAGUGCUCGUGCAUAUUCCAAGUAGAAUUCAGAGGUAUGUUUGCAAACCAGACUGAAAGUGAUGCUUUUAAAGGAACUGGAUCGUAGAUUCCUACAAGGAUUCCUACAUGGACUGUCCUGCUGGAGCCAUUAGUCUUCUAAGUGGAUAGACCAGGCAGGGAGCUAUCUACUGCACCAAGAAGAGGAGGAAUGAUGGAGUUAGACCACCCCACGGGAAGAAGCUCCAGAGACCCCAAGGUGCCUGGGGAUUCAUUGUCACUAUGCGACAAGAAGUCAACAAGGUUUGGAACUUAUUUGAACAAUUUUCAUUUUGAAACAUGAAAAGGUGGAAGAUUCCAGCCUCUUUCUGUUAACAGUAGACAAAGAUAAGCAUCUCUCCACAAAGGUACAAGAUUAUGUUACCCUUCUGGAAUCCUGGUAGCCAAUUCAAGUUGUUUUUGAAGCACAAUGCUACCCAUGAGGCCUAAACCAAAAGAACCAGACAUUCCAGAUUGACUCAAAUAAUUCCAUUUUUUAAAUGUAAUGUUCUGGCACCUCUGUGAUUUCCAUAUUUGUUCCAGUUUUCAUCACACCCUGUGAUACUGAAUGGCAACAUCAGGAACAGAAUGCUUCUUUGAAUAACUCAGCUGCCUUCCUACCUUGCGGCUAUCAGGUGUAGGACACAGUUUGUCAGGAAUUAAAAGAAAACACAAUUUCCAUUCAAGAAUUUAAUUCUCUUUCAACACACAUAAAAACGGGAAAAUUUAUUUUGUGGUUUAUUGUGCGGAGGACAAGUCUUCUAAAAAAAACCGAAAGAAGGCAAUUCUCAAUGGAAACUAUGGAUCUUUGAUGAACUUUUUAUUUCUGCAUGAUUUGAGAUUUAUGAAGAGCCAAACUAAAACCUAUUUUGUUUUUCACUGUGUCUUAUAAGUAGGGGAAAAAAUGACAUUAGUAACUAUUGAGCCAUGUGACUCUCAAAUACAUAGUAACUUGGCUUUGUAUUCGCUCACAAUGCUUCUAGAAACCCCACGAUAGAAAGGUUAAAUCCUUUUCAUUUUCUUUGGAAGUAUUUGGAAACAUUCACAGCUCAGAGCUGGGAUGUCCAUCUUAUAGUUUAUGUAGCAUAACUGUGUUGUCUCUGAUUCUCCAGAACAAGAGUUUACAACCGAACUGGAAAACAACUGUCCUGCGCUACGUCUAGUCUAGCUAUGUAGGCCAGACUUUAUCAGUUUUUGGUACUGCUUGUGAUAAUUACCUCUUGCCAAACAUGCUUGUCUGAAUUAUUCCAUAAAACACGCUUGAUAAAUGGACUUAUCAAGACCAUUAGGUCUUGAAGAACUUAAAUUAGUCCCAGAUGACUCUCUUUUCAGUUAAAAGAUAAAUUUAAAUAAAAUGUGAAUGUAAACAUA